AUUGCAAAGCAGAAAUCACUCUGACUCACUUUGUGUUUUCAUGGGAGUUGACCAGCUAUGAGUUCCGCUUCACUAUAAAAUGUAAUCUGGACACCGUGGAAAGAGCGGUAUAUUUGAUCUGGGACAUCUGCUUGGAAGGGUCUGCCUUCUCACUACUCUUAAUGUGCUCCUAGGAUCCAGGUGGCUGAGUGGAGAUCGGGAGGUGUGGGGACGGGAUAAUGUGGUGGGGCCCCUUUUCUGUAGGGGGGGGGGUGUGACGCCCUGCCCCUCUCUCUGCCUAUUGGUUGUGGGUGGAGAUUGGGAAAGGGCGUCAGGCCAAUUGGCCACACCUGUGGAUCCUAGGGAUCCAGAGAUUUAAGGGCUGGGUAGCCAUGUGUUGGGUCUCUCUUUUGCUGCUUCUAGGCUGGGCGCUGGGCUCAGUCUUCCACCCGCCAUGUGGUUUUAAGUAUCAUCCCUUUUGUUUAAAUAUAAUUGCUUAUGUUUACUUUAACGAGUAAAAACGGGUUACUAAUAAACUAGUUUCUCUUUAUAUCAUGUGUGGACUCCCUUUGUUUUGCCACUACCUGACCCGGUGUGUGACACUUAGUAGAGAGUGGAAGAAAGUGAGAUUUUGAAACUAUACAACCCAAGAAAAUCCUCUUUGCUCCUGACUUCCCUGUUUCUCCGCCGUUAAAGUGUUAUUCAUUCACAGGUAUGAUUGACAGGCAAGGUGGAAUACCCGAACCAAUCAGGGAAGCGAAGCCCUGUUUGGGCACAAAUGAGCCGGGAGUGGUCUAAGAUCAAAAUGGACUCAUACAGAUGCAUUUCACUCACUGAUAGCUGAGGCAUGGCUAUGCCAUUUCUCACAAAUGCGAAGUUGCAUAUCCAUGCAUCAGAUAAUGUCAUACUACAAUAUCCUGCACAAAUAUAUUUAAAGUUGAAUAAUGUCUAGUAAUGUAAUGUGGGGAAUGAAUGUGACAUAGUAGACACAAUAAAAAUGGUUGUACCUACCAUGUGCCAACACAGACUGAAAGCCAAUAGAAAAUGAUUCAUGUCAUGGUAAACUAACAACGGGUGACUCUGAACUUUCAUGAACGCACAUCGAGUGAUAAAGGGAAAUCUUUCUCCCAAGUGUUGAAAGAGAAAGUUGUAAAUAGGCUCCAUUUUACUGAGCCUUCCCAACCUUGAAAAAAUAAAACCGGUAUAUAUAACAAGUAAACCACAGACGCAAGCCGCUGUGGAUGAAAACAGGAACAUUGGCGUCACAUGCCUCGGCGCCCGAGGUCUUUGACAAGCCCAGCCACCCACCCAUGGAACUCCACACAAUGAUCCAUGGAAAGGGAGACAUUUCCUGUGUGCUGUAAUCGUUUGCUCCUAACUCUUUGGCUUGGGGGUAGUGUGCAGGCAGGCCACCAUAGUAUAUCACUGUUGUCCUACCCUAGAUGUUCAUUGUCUCAUAGUCCGUCUUUCCCAGAAUUCCUUGGCUGGACAUAGCCAGUGUGUAAUAACUCGCUGAAAACAACUGCAAUGAGAUAUGAUUUAUGAGUCAUCUGAAAGAAUGCCAUUCUUUUAUUAUUGGAGAAUGGAAUAACCUGAGGUUUAGUAGAAGUAGAUUGAAUUCGGAUAGGAUUAAUCUAUUGACUAAUCAUGUAACUCAUGUACAAAAUGUUCUUCAAUACUAAUUACAUUUAAUAGGCCAAAAUGUCAAAUGUUGAUAAAUAUAAAUAAAUAUCUCCAAGGAUUUUUGCAUGA